AAAAAAAAAAAUCCUCUGAGUGGUUUGGUUUCAUUUUCAUAUGCAUCAAGAUAGUUAAUAAUCAAGAAUCAUGAGUUUGCCUCAGGCAAUUAAGUCUUGUAACAGUUAAUUAACUUCUAGGAAAGAAUAUUGUUGCUUUAAUCCUCCUAGGAUAGUCCUAAACCUGAAUUAUAACAAUGAAAAUACUCAGAAGGCUUUUAAAUGGCGGAAAAAAACCACUACUCCUCUUUUGAUAGAAUACUUUAUUGAAGAAAACCCUCUCUGAAAAUCUCACAAAAGAUUAUCUAUAUAGAAAUGUUUGAUAGAAUCUUUUCCAGGGACAGUAAAUAUGUUUCAUGUAAAUAUGUGAAAUCCUUUGAUUCUGAUAUAGAUAAUCCCAAUUUUGCACUUCUGUUAGAAUUUCCUUUUGGGAAUACAUUGUGUUUGUUUUUGGUAAAUAUUAUAUUGGUGCCUGCAUUAAUGGUAGAAAACAGGAAAAUACAAGACAGGUCAAGGACAAUUGUGUGAGAAAAUAGAUACAGAUUAAAAUCUUUGGCCUGUUGAGUGGUUUAAUAUAUGUUUAGUAUUCUGUAUUUUCUGCCUUCAAAAUGAGCUCAAGAUAGUUUUCUCAUAGAAAUAAACUUUAGUAAUGUUGUUGGAUUGAGACAUCGAAAUUGGUCCCAGCUUCCUUUACAAGGUACUUUUUUUGUUUUUUGUUUUUUUUGUUACUGGUGAUCAAACUCAGAACCUUGUGCUUGCAAGGCAGGCAAUGGAACCACUGAGCUAAAUCCCUGGCCCUAGGUGCUUUAUUUUUUGAAACUGGUUUUAUUAAAAAUUCCAAAUAUCAUGAUAUUUUUCUACUCACUUUCCUACUUUGUGUCAGCUAGCCUAAUUAUUUUUUAUAAUUUUUAAAUUUAAACAGUAUAGAAAGCAAUCUUAGCAUGUGAAUCUUUAUGCAUUUGACAACAGUUGUCUCAAAAAUGGUAAACCCAAAGAUGCCACUUUUAUGUUUUUGUUUUUUUUUUUUGGUACUGGGGAUCGAACUUGGGUCCUUGUGCUUGAGAGGCAGGCAGCAGAACCACUGAGCUAAACCCCCAGCCUGAUGCCAUUUUUAUGUAACUGAACACCUUGGUUCUCCCUAUAAUUAUCUAAGAUUUUAUUGCAUCUUUUAAUUAUCUGGAAUUUAUUUACGAGCACACACAUGGCAGAUAUAAAAGAUAGUAAAGAAAUAACAUUUGUUUCUUCCCAACACUAAUGAGGAAUCUUAAUUUUGACAGCCAUGGACAGCAUUUAUUGCUUUUACUCUGUGGAAGAAGAAAUGUAUGGAAACAAGAACUUGAUUUGUCAUUCAAAGUGUCCAAAGGAGACACAAAAUGGGAAGGCAAAGCUUAUCUUCCAUGGAAUUAUUUUCCACCAAAUGUGACAAAAUUCAAUUCAUAUGCAAUUCAUGGAUCAAAAGAUAAAAGAAGUUAUGAAGCCCUCUACCCUGUACCACAGCAUGAACUGCAACAAGGACAAAAACCUGAUUUCCAUCGUCUAGAAUAUUUCAAGCCCUUCAGCUUUAACACACUGCUUGGAGAAGAAUGGAAACAACCAGAAUCAGAUCUGUGGCUAAUAGAGAAAUAUGACUUAUAGGAAUAUAAUGGAUAACAAUAUAAAUAAUUUUUCCUCUGUACCUUUUAAGACAUUAAAAAAUGAAGGCAAUCCUGAUCCUGACUCUUAUUGGAGCGUGCUGUGAAGGCCCUGCAGGCUACUUUUUUCUGAAGAGACUUGAAGGCAGCUUGAAACUUAUUCAAAAAAAUCACCAUGCCUGUUUACAAAGGAUUGCAAAUUUCAAAAGCAAGCAAGAAAGAAAAUAAUUGUCAGCUGGUACAUGAAAGGUAAAAGUAUCUCAGAGAUAACGGAGCAGAAGAACAAUCAUACAAUGAAUACAUGGAGUUUUAAACUUUUGUGCAUGUAAAUUUCUUUUGCUUUUUAUGAUAAGAUAAUUUUCUAAAUGGUUGUUUAAACCUAUAGCACUCACUGCUUACAGUAAUUUAUUCUUGGCUCUAUAUUUGGUUUUUUUCUCCUUCAGUCAGAAUCAUUUUGCUUAAUUUUCUUUACAUAAUGAGAAAAGAAUAAUUGAGAAGGCAUGAGUGUAUCUAACACUGGGAGGUUCAAGAAGUAUUAUGUUACAGAGACAGAAUAAAGAAUUUCAUUGAAUUGA